UUCCUAAAGACUAUAAAACUAUGGCUGCUCUUGCUAAAGCGAUUGAAAAGAAUGUGCUUUUUGCUCAUCUUGAUGACAAUGAAAGAAGUGACAUAUUUGACGCCAUGUUCCCAGUCACCUACAUUGCAGGAGAGACCGUCAUUCAACAAGGGGAUGAGGGUGACAAUUUUUAUGUUAUUGACCAAG